CGGUCCCUGGUGCAUUCGCCAGACAUUCUGUCCUCGAGCCGAUAAGCGUUAACCGGGGGUGACCGUUGGCGUUGGUGUGCAAGUCCGGCAUGACCGGGAAGCCUUAAACGUCACGGAAGCCACCACCUUGAACCAUUUCGGGUUCAAGGGCCGUACCGUCAGCGGUGCUCCGGGUACCGA
rnacentral:other from 1 species